UACGGAGGGUGCAAGCGUUGUCCGGAAUCACUGGGCGUAAAGGGCGCGUAGGCGGCUCAUGAAGGCUGUGGUGAAAGUCCGGGGCUCAACCUCGGAUCGGCCGUGGCGACUCGUGGGCUGGAGCACUGUAGAGGCGGGUGGAAUUCCGGGUGUAGCGGUGGAAUGCGUAGAGAUCCGGAAGAACACCAGUGGCGAAGGCGGCCCGCUGGGCAGUGGCUGACGCUGAGGCACGAAAGCGUGGGGAUCAAACAGG
rnacentral:rRNA from 1 species